ACCUGGCUGGCUCAGUCAGUGGAGCAGGAGACUCUCAGUCUCAGGGUUGUGAGUUUGAGUUCCACGUUGGGUA
rnacentral:tRNA from 1 species